AUUGAACGCUGGCGGCAGGCCUAACACAUGCAAGUCGAGCGAGCGGCGGACGGGUGAGUAAUGUAUGGGGAUCUGCCCGAUCGAGGGGGAUAACUACUGGAAACGGUGGCUAAUACCGCAUACUAUCGGAUGACCCCAUAUGGGAUUAGCUAGUGGGUGGGGUAAAGGCCAACUUAGGCGACGAUCUCUAGCUGGUCUGAGAGGAUGAUCAGCCACACUGGGACUGAGACACGGCCCAGUCUCCUACGGGGUGCAGCGGUGGGUAAUAUCGCACAAUGGGCGCAAGCCUGAUGCAGCCAUGCCGCGUGUAUGAAGAAGGCCUUGGGUUUGUAAAGUACUUUCAGCGGGGAGGCGUGUCCCGCAGAAGAAGCACCGGCAAACUCCGUGCCAGCGCCGCGGUAAUUC
rnacentral:rRNA from 1 species